AUCAACGAAAUUAUGUCUCCAUGAGCCAGAAAAUUUUUGCCUACCCAUAAACCCAUAGACCCCCGCAAAUAAAAAUGAUUCCAAAGUAAGUAUAAAUAUUUGCAUUCCUCAAAAAUUCUAAUACCUUACUCAUCAGUGUUCAGUGCAUUUAAUGAGAACUGUUUUACUAAAUUAAUGAUUGAUCAUUAUUAACUUGAUAUUUAUAAUUUUGUUUAUAUUGUUGGGAGAAUUUAUAUUAUUGGUACAAAAUUAAAAUUGAAUUUUAAUUUGAUUUGUCAGAAUAAUUUGAUGUUUGUGUUCACAUCUAUUUGUUAAUGAAAUAAAAUGUUUUCUAAU
rnacentral:sRNA from 1 species